rnacentral:RNase_P_RNA from 5 species
UAGGAGUGUCGGAUGACUACGGGUUUGCAACGUCUUGAACAAUGCAAACGCGAGGAAAGUCCGAACACCUCUUCCUUCGCAAGAAGGAAGGAAAAAGAAAGUCGCUAACGGCGACCGGGUAUAAGCAUCUGGACUCGAGGAAUUGGAUUUGUUCGUUCCCUGAUUCCUGAUUCAAAGCCUAGGGAAAGUCCCGCUUAGGCGGGAUCUUGUUUCCUCUUCAGUGAGAAAACAGGAUGCCACAGAGACAAUACUCGUUCCGCUUGCGGAACAAAACGUGAAAAGUGAUGUGGUGUCGACUUGUCGGCUACACAUCUCGCUCCAUGGUGACAUGGAAGCGUGGUAAACCCUUUCUGGUGCAAGAGCAAAUUUGGUCGUUCGCUUGAUCCUCUCGGCAACGAGAGGGCUAGAUAGAUGGUCAUCUCCCCUCGUUUAAUUUGAGGGUAGACAAAAUUCGGCUUACAGACAUUUCCUAAGAC